rnacentral:rRNA from 1 species
AGGCCUACACAUGCAAGUCGAACGCGAAAGCUCCUUCGGGAGUGAGUAGAGUGGCGAACGGGUGAGUAACACGUAGGAAUCUACCCAAGAGUGGGGGACAACUCGGAGAAAUCCGAGCUAAUACCGCAUACGCCCUACGGGGUAAAGUGGGGGACCUCUUCGGAGGCCUCAUGCUUUUGGAUGAGCCUGCGUCGGAUUAGCUUGUUGGUAGGGUAAUAGCCUACCAAGGCGACGAUCCGUAGCUGGUCUGAGAGGAUGACCAGUCACACUGGGACUGAGACACGGCCCAGACUCCUACGGGAGGCAGCAGUGGGGAAUAUUGGACAAUGGGGGCAACCCUGAUCCAGCCAUGCCGCGUGUGUGAAGAAGGCCUUCGGGUUGUAAAGCACUUUCAGUAGGGAAGAAAAGCCUAAGGAUAAUACCCUUGGGUCUUGACGGUACCUACACAAGAAGCACCGGCUAAUUCCGUGCCAGCAGCCGCGGUAAUACGGAAGGUGCAAGCGUUAAUCGGAAUUACUGGGCGUAAAGCGCGCGUAGGCGGUUAGAUAAGUCGGGUGUGAAAGCCCCGGGCUCAACCUGGGAACUGCAUUCGAUACUGUCUGACUAGAGUGUGAUAGAGGGAGGCGGAAUUCCACAUGUAGCGGUGAAAUGCGUAGAGAUGUGGA